rnacentral:tRNA from 2 species
GCCACCUUAGCUCAGUUGGCCAGAGCAACGCACUUGUAAUGCGUGGGUCCGGAGUUCGAAUCUCCGAGGUGGCUCCA